GGAAACAAGAUGACUAACGUAACCGGAAUAAACAACAGAUAUGCCUAUCAACUGUUUAAAAGAUGGUUCUGCUAUCACUCUUGGAUGGACCUGCGGUGCAUUAGCUAGUUGGUAGGGUAACGGCCUACCAAGGCGAUGAUGCAUAGCCGAGUUGAGAGACUGAUCGGCCACAUUGGGACUGAGACACGGCCCAAACUCCUACGGGAGGCAGCAGUC
rnacentral:rRNA from 1 species